GGCGUGCGGGUGCUAAUACAUGCAAGUCGAGCGAACUGAUUAGAAGCUUGCUUCUAUGACGUUAGCGGCCCGACGGGUGAGUAACACGUGGGCAACCUGCCUGUAAGACUGGGAUAACUUCGGGAAACCGAAGCUAAUACCGGAUAGGAUCUUCUCCUUCAUGGGAGAUGAUUGAAAGAUGGUUUCGGCUAUCACUUACAGAUGGGCCCGCGGUGCAUUAGCUAGUUGGUGAGGUAACGGCUCACCAAGGCAACGAUGCAUAGCCGACCUGAGAGGGUGAUCGGCCACACUGGGACUGAGACACGGCCCAGACUCCUACGGGAGGCAGCAGUAGGGAAUCUUCCGCAAUGGACGAAAGUCUGACGGAGCAACGCCGCGUGAGUGAUGAAGGCUUUCGGGUCGUAAAACUCUGUUGUUAGGGAAGAACAAGUACGAGAGUAACUGCUCGUACCUUGACGGUACCUAACCAGAAAGCCACGGCUAACUACGUGCCAGCAGCCGCGGUAAUACGUAGGUGGCAAGCGUUAUCCGGAAUUAUUGGGCGUAAAGCGCGCGCAGGCGGUUUCUUAAGUCUGAUGUGAAAGCCCACGGCUCAACCGUGGAGGGUCAUUGGAAACUGGGGAACUUGAGUGCAGAAGAGAAAAGCGGAAUUCCACGUGUAGCGGUGAAAUGCGUAGAGAUGUGGAGGAACACCAGUGGCGAAGGCGGCUUUUUGGUCUGUAACUGACGCUGAGGCGCGAAAGCUGAACC
rnacentral:rRNA from 2 species